AAGACUAUACUUUCAUUAAUUCUUUCUAUAGUUUAUGACUUGAGAAUUGUGUUUCUAAAGUGUAUGGUUUCACUGACCAUGAUGAAGAGUUGGUGAUGCUCCUUUUUGAAUGUGAAGAAAGUAGAUACUUGGUUCAUCCAUGUUCUCUGCUACUGAUGACUGUUCACUGAUCUCAGUGGGAACUCAAGAAUUGU
rnacentral:snoRNA from 1 species